rnacentral:lncRNA from 1 species
CUUGCCCGAGUUUUUGAAACCAUCGAGGCUUCCAAGAUUCCUCGCAAAUGGAACCAUAAGAAAUGUUGCUUAUUGUUUGGGAAGGUGGUUAUGGGUUCAUAUGCUAACUGGUUGUUUAGUGCAGGUAAUAAACUUUUGCUUAGAUUUUAUCAUAUUGCCCGUUUGUUUACCUUCAUUUUGAGGAAUUGGAAUUUAACUAAUAGAGUAGACUAUUUUUUUAGAACGUGACAUUCCACAACUUUACAAAGUGUAUAUAUAAGCCUAUCUCGAAUUCAUGGGGUAAGAUAUGGAAAUUAAUUCUAUAGAUUUACAUGCUACUUUUCUAAUGUACAAUUUAUAGCACGCUCUUCUACUUGCUUCUCUAUAUGUAGUGUAUAACUAUCUCUCUGAUAUGAUUUAGGAUAACAUACAAAUACAUUACAUGAUAAAUAUAUUAACUCAAUUAGUUUUGUCUAAAUUAUAAUUAUUAGAAUAGAAUUUAAUUCCAAUGAAACAAACGGGGCCUAAAUGAUAAUAAAUUCAAUGCAUCAAGCCAUCAAGAUAGCGUGCCCUGCUAGCCUCAUCCUUGGUGCUGAUAUGCAUAGCAAGCACAUUUGCUCACAGUUCACCACAACUGACUUCAUAAAGUUGUAAUGUCACCAUAUGUUUUAAAAAGUGUGUCAUCAAACCUGUCCUCAUAUUUCUUAGGACAGCAAAUGAACCAACUUCUGAAGUGGAAGAUUCAUAAAUCUUGUAUUCAUCAUGAUGAGCAUAAUAAAAUUAAUUUGAACUGACGAUGAGGGAAAAACUAGAGUUGUUAUCCCUCAUUUUUCUGGUACCUAAAAUAGUGCUGGUCCCAAUAGGGCUUGGUGCAUUUCAUAUUUUAGAAUGGUAGAAUCCAAAUAUUUGCAACCUAAAACAUCGAUCCAGCCAAAAUGUUAGUGGAAAUAGGUAGUGUUUAGAACGAAUAAUUUUGAUAGUAGCAAGCUAAAAAAGUUCCCAUGAAACUGGUAUCUGUUAAGAGGUAAUGCAGAGCAUGUACCAUAAACAUUUUCUAUUGUCUAUAGUUUGUUGGAUUCGUUCUUUGUGAUUUAUAGCACCCAAACGUUUGGUAAGCAUAUAGUCCCCACUAGAUGGUAAAUAGAAGUAGGUGUAGCCAUACAACAUCUGGUCGAUAUCCAAAAUUAUACAAUAUUUCAAGUAACUUUUAAACCGUGUUGCGCUAUUGCAUAUUUGUAGAUACUUUAUUUUGAUGACAGUUUCUAGAUUUAUCAUAACUUUUUUCAACACUACUAAUGCUAUCAAGUGUAUAAAAACACAAUAAUUUUGAUUAUAUAAAUAAAAAGAGGCGUUCAUUGGCCUUUGCCUUAGACCUAGACUCAUGGCGUUCACUUGUAGGUGCCACCCGUAUGACUAUUUUUUGUGAGAAGUAAUUGGAUGGGUGAUGAACUGUCCUUAUGACAGUCAGGAUCACUUAUGCCUAGAGCAAAGGCUUCCUUUGUACAUUUACAUGGCGAUGUAUCAUCACUAUACAUUUUUCUUACAGCUUGCUGUCAAAAUCCUUCUCCAAACAGGCCACCAGACUACCUUGUAUUCUUUUUACGUACAUCUUUUCUGAACUAGGACCCUAGCACCAUGUGCAUUAACAACACAAAUGAGUAAGGAAGUUUGUUGCUCGCUAUUAUGGACAACAGGACAUACAUUAGGAAUUAUUUAUAUUUAAAUCGUGGGUAUCCCAUGCUUUUUGUGUAGAUUUCUAACAUAACCAAGGUGUUCCUUUGUCAUGUUGGGUUUUAGCUCUGUUUUGGACCAAUCAGUCUGAAAACAGAAGGGUUGUAUCUACAAGCAAUUGAUCUUCUCAGCUUUGAACUCUAUUAAUGUUUAUACUAUUGAAUGAUCGACAUACUGAUAAAAUUUGAUGUUAAACUUGAAGGUCGAUGAUGAGGUAUAUGAUGCUUUGGUCGAACACCUUUCUAUCUUGGAGGAUAUUGAAAAUUUUGAUUCAAAGUAAGUCUUUCCUGUUGGUGCUAUUUCAGGACAUUGAUCGUUGCAUGGUCAUGUUCUUCUAUUGUAGACUUGUAGUUAUCAAAGCUGGGUUGGUUUUGAAUGUCCUGCACUAGGACAUGUUAAUUCUUGAACAUCGCCAAUCAUGUUUGUGGUCUGGAUGCUUUCAC